rnacentral:lncRNA from 1 species
UGCAAUAAACAUAAAAUUUGCUUGAUGAUUCAUGUUGCCACCUUCAUCGUACCCCUUGAUCUUCAUGCAUCCAAAAAUAUAUGGAAGCACUCUCACUAGAGUGAAAUAAUGAAAUAAUAUAAUUUUAUGAGAAGCUUAUAUUUGAACUAUCAUAACAUAUAAAGAUGCAUUUAGAGUUAGUAAUUAAAAAUAUUCAAUGAAUCAUAGAAUACGAAAACAAAAACUUAGCGAUGAAUAAGGUGAAAAAAGAUCUAAACCUUUUCCAACAUAGAAGACAAAUAAGAAAAGCAUUUAAAUAAACAUCAUAAACUUAAGGAGAUAGAGAAAAGAAGUAAAACUUACAGUUUGGCACUAGAAGAGAUUGAAAUUUCUCAUAGGCAUUUUUUUCGUGAGUAUCCUAUAAAUAAAAAACAAACAAUUGAAGCAUAAACCUAAGUCAAUUAGGUGUACGGCACAAAACCUAUGGAAUCUUCAAAAUCGCACUCACUACUUAUAAAUUACAAGGCAUAAUAACUAUUAAAUUGCUAGAAUAACUUGUCAAUUGAAGUUAAAUAAUUCGUAAAUUGAAGUGAAAGAAAGACAUAAGAAAAUGGGAAGGGGGAGUGGCGGCUGAGGGAGAUGAAGUAGGAAGUUUAGGUUUAG